GACGAACGCUGGCGGCGUGCUUAACACAUGCAAGUGGAGCGACGAACCAGGGCUUGCCCUGGGGCAGAGCCGCGAACGGGUGAGUAACACGUGGGUUACCUGCCCCGAUGACCGGGACAACCCGAGGAAACUCGGGCUAAUACCGGAUGUGGUCUUCGGACGAAAGGAAGCUUCGGCCUCCGCAUCGGGAUGGGCCCGCGGCGCAUUAGCUUGUUGGUGGGGUAACGGCCUACCAAGGCGACGAUGCGAGCUGGUCUGAGAGGACGAUCAGCCACACUGGGACUGAGACACGGCCCAGACUCCUACGGGAGGCAGCAGGUGGGGUAAUCUUGCGCAAUGCGCGAAAGCGUGACGCAGCAACGCCGCGUGAGGGAAGACGGCC
rnacentral:rRNA from 1 species